GACGAACGCUGGCGGCGUGCUUAACACAUGCAAGUCGAACGGAAAGGCCCUGCUUUUGUGGGGUGCUCGAGUGGCGAACGGGUGAGUAACACGUGAGUAACCUGCCCUUGACUUUGGGAUAACUUCAGGAAACUGGGGCUCAUACCGGAUAGGAGCUCCUGCUGCAUGGUGGGGGUUGGAAAGUUUCGGCGGUUGGGGAUGGACUCGCGGCUUAUCAGCUUGUUGGUGGGGUAGUGGCUUACCAAGGCUUUGACGGGUAGCCGGCCUGAGAGGGUGACCGGCCACAUUAGGACUGAGAUACGGCCCAGACUCCUACGGGAGGCAGCAGUGGGGAAUAUUGCAGAGUGGGCGGAAGCCUGAUGCAGCAACGCCGCGUGCGGGAUGACGGCCUUCGGGUUGUAAACCGCUUUCGCCUGUGACGAAGCGUGAGUGACGGUAAUGGGUAAAGAAGCACCGGCUAACUACGUG
rnacentral:rRNA from 1 species